rnacentral:miRNA from 1 species
AAUUAACGUCGCCCCUGCGAAGGCAGGGGCCGCUGGAAACUUGGCGCAAGGCGGGCUGCGGCCCCCGCCUGCGCGGGGGCGACGCGCGGA